rnacentral:rRNA from 1 species
AACGAACGCUGGCGGCAGGCCUAACACAUGCAAGUCGAGCGAGGACUUCGGUCCUAGCGGCGGACGGGUGAGUAACGCGUGGGAACGUGCCCUUUGCUUCGGAAUAGCCCUGGGAAACUGGGAGUAAUACCGGAUGAGCCCUUUGGGGGAAAGAUUUAUCGGCGAAGGAUCGGCCCGCGUUGGAUUAGGUAGUUGGUGGGGUAAUGGCCUACCAAGCCGACGAUCCAUAGCUGGUUUGAGAAGAUGAUCAGCCACACUGGGACUGAGACACGGCCCAGACUCCUACGGGAGGCAGCAGUGGGGAAUCUUAGACAAUGGGGGAAACCCUGAUCGAGCCAUGCCGCGUGAGCGAUGAAGGCCUUAGGGUUGUAAAGCUCUUUCAGCUGGGAAGAUAAUGACGGUACCAGCAGAAGAAGCCCCGGCUAACUCCGUG